CCUACGGGUGGCUGCAGUGAGGAAUAUUGGUCAAUGGACGCAAGUCUGAACCAGCCAUGCCGCGUGCAGGAAGACGGCUCUACGAGUUGUAAACUGCUUUUGUACGGGAGUAAACGCAGAUACGCGUAUCUGUCUGAAAGUAUCGUACGAAUAAGGAUCGGCUAACUCCGUGCCAGCAGCCGCGGUAAUACGGAGGAUUCAAGCGUUAUCCGGAUUUAUUGGGUUUAAAGGGUGCGUAGGUGGGCGGAUAAGUUAGUGGUGAAAUUCCGAGGCUCAACUUCGGAAUUGCCUUUGAUACUGGUCGGCUAGAGAGUAGUUGCGGUAGGCGGAAUGUAUGGUGUAGCGGUGAAAUGCUUAGAGAUCAUAAAGAACACCGAUUGCGAAGGCAGCUUACCAAGCUACUUCUGACGUUGAGGCACGAAAGCGUGGGGAGCAAACAGGAUUAGAUACCCGGGUAGUC
rnacentral:rRNA from 1 species